rnacentral:rRNA from 1 species
CCUACGGGAGGCAGCAGUGGGGAAUAUUGGUCAAUGGCCGGGAGCCUGAACCAGCCAAGCCGCGUGAAGGAUGACUGCCCUAUGCGUUGUAAACUUCUUUUGUAAAGGAAUAAAAUGAGGCACGCGUGCCUGUUUGCAGGUACUUUAUGAAUAAGAAUCGGCUAACUCCGUGCCAGCAGCCGCGGUAAUACGGAGGAUCCGAGCGUUAUCCGGAUUUAUUGGGUUUAAAGGGAGCGUAGAUGGGUUGUUAAGUCAGUGGUGAAAGUUUGCGGCUCAACCGUAAAAUUGCAAUUGAUACUGGCAGUCUUGAGUACAGUUGAGGUAGGCGGAAUUCGUGGUGUAGCGGUGAAAUGCUUAGAUAUCACGAAGAACUCCGAUUGCGAAGGCAGCCUACUAAACUGUGACUGACAUUGAUGCUCGAAAGUGUGGGUAUCAAACAGGAUUAGAUACCCUUGUAGUC